CAUCCGCAAAGUCGGCCCGUGGAAUUCAGCGCGGCGCGCGGCCUGGAGCUGCUUCGUUUCGGGAUUCCCUGGGACCCGGGCGGGGUGCUGCGCCGGGCCCCGCCGCGUGCACUUUCUGCGGGCAGAGCGCCACGACCGGUUUCGCGGCGGCGACGAGCCGGGCGGGAAGGUAGGCGUCUCCUUCGGGCGACGCUGUUUGACCGCCUCGGUGAGCUGCUGCGGGACCGAGGGACGGCCGCGUUCUUCGAGGCCACCCGGCUUUCUCGGGGAGUUCGACUGGCAGAGACUGAGCAAUCGUGUCUGCCGACCGCUUCUCGAGUCGGUCCGGGCUGGCCGGGAGCGCUCAGGGUCGGUGGCGAAUCUGUCGGCAUUGCACCCGACCCGUCUUGAAACACGGACCAAGGAGUCUAACAUGCGCGCGAGUCAUUGGGUUCUACGAAAUCCAAAGGCGCAGUGAAAGCGAGGGUCGCCCCGGGCUGACCCAGGUGGGAUCUUUCCGUCUCUCCGGAGCGGGGAGCCCCCACCGGCCCGUCCCGUCCGCGUCGUCGGUGGGGCGGAGCAGGAGCGUGCACGCUGGGACCCGAAAGAUGGUGAACUAUGCCUGAGUAGAACGAAGCCAGAGGAA
rnacentral:rRNA from 1 species